rnacentral:rRNA from 1 species
UACGUAGGGUCCAAGCGUUGUCCGGAAUUAUUGGGCGUAAAGAGCUCGUAGGCGGUCCGUUAAGUCGGAAGUGAAAUCUCAAGGCUCAACCUUGAAAUCGCUUUCGAUACUGGCGGACUUGAGGCAGGUAGGGGAAGGUGGAAUUCCUGGUGUAGCGGUGAAAUGCGCAGAUAUCUGGAGGAACACCGGUGGCGAAGGCGGCGUUCUGGACUGCAACUGACACUGAGAAACGAAAGCCAGGGGAGCAAACGGG